rnacentral:rRNA from 1 species
AAAACUCAAAGGAAUUGACGGGGGCCCGCACAAGCGGCGGAGCAUGCGGAUUAAUUCGAUGCAACGCGAAGAACCUUACCAAGGCUUGACAUAUACCGGGAACUUCCAGAAAUGGUUGCCCCGCAAGGUCGGUAUACAGGUGGUGCAUGGUUGUCGUCAGCUCGUGUCGUGAGAUGUUGGGUUAAGUCCCGCAACGAGCGCAACCCUCGUUCUAUGUUGCCAGCACGUCAUGGUGGGAACUCAUAGGAGACUGCCGGGGUCAACUCGGAGGAAGGUGGGGAUGACGUCAAAUCAUCAUGCCCCUUAUGUCUUGGGCUUCACGCAUGCUACAAUGGCCGGUACAAAGGGCUGCGAUACCGUAAGGUGGAGCGAAUCCCAAAAAGCCGGUCUCAGUUCGGAUUGAGGUCUGCAACUCGACCUCAUGAAGUCGGAGUCGCUAGUAAUCGCAGAUCAGCAACGCUGCGGUGAAUACGUUCCCGGGCCUUGUACACACCGCCCGUCAAGUCAUGAAAGUCGGUAACACCCGAAGCCAGUGGCCUAACCGCAAGGAGGGAGCUGUCGAAGGUGGGAUCGGUGAUUAGGACUAAGUCGUAACAAGGUAGCCGUACCGGAAGGUGCGGCUGGAUCACCUCCUUUCUAAGGA